rnacentral:rRNA from 1 species
GACCAGACUCCUACGGGAGGCAGCAGUGGGGAAUAUUGCACAAUGGGGGAAACCCUGAUGCAGCGACGCCGCGUGAGCGAUGAAGUAUUUCGGUAUGUAAAGCUCUAUCAGCAGGGAAGAAAAUGACGGUACCUGACUAAGAAGCCCCGGCUAACUACGUGCCAGCAGCCGCGGUAAUACGUAGGGGGCAAGCGUUAUCCGGAUUUACUGGGUGUAAAGGGAGCGUAGACGGCUGUGCAAGCCAGAUGUGAAAGCCCGGGGCUCAACCCCGGGACUGCAUUUGGAACUGUGUGGCUGGAGUGUCGGAGAGGCAGGCGGAAUUCCUAGUGUAGCGGUGAAAUGCGUAGAUAUUAGGAGGAACACCAGUGGCGAAGGCGGCCUGCUGGACGAUGACUGACGUUGAGGCUCGAAAGCGUGGGGAGCAAACAGGAUUAGAUACCCCUGUAA